rnacentral:rRNA from 1 species
GGCGAACCGAGCGAACGUUGUUCGGAAUCACUGGGCUUAAAGGGCGCGUAGGCGGGUGCUCAAGUCUGUGGUGAAAUCCUCCGGCUCAACCGGAGAACUGCCAUGGAUACUGGGUGUCUCGAGGGUGGUAGGGGUAUGCGGAACUAUCGGUGGAGCGGUGAAAUGCGUUGAUAUCGAUAGGAACUCCGGUGGCGAAGGCGGCAUACUGGACCACUUCUGACGCUGAGGCGCGAAAGCCAGGGGAGCAAACGGG